CAAUUCUCCUGCUUCAGUCUCCCGAGUAGCUGGGACUACAGAUAGUUUACCAGUUCCUAAUGGAGACAAGCUUGGAUUACAGUAUGGCACUGGAAAUAGAAGAAAGUGUGUGGAUUUGGCUUAUAAGUUUAAGCUGUCAGGAUUUGCUGAUAUGUCAGAUGUGAAGAGUGUGAAGGAAAGAAAUAAAGAAUGACCUGGAUUUUGGGCUUAAGUGAGUGUGGUGGAUACGGUAAAUUUGAUUUAGAUUAGGAAGAUGUGGGAAUGAAAAAGUUUGUGGGAGAGGGAUAAUCGAGUGUUCUGUGUUAGACACAUUAAUGUUAAGGUGCCUGUCAGGUUUCCAUGGAUGUAGGAGUCUGGAGCAAAGUGAGGAGAGAGAUGUGCCCUAGAAAUAGAUGGUUGGCUGCAUAGGUGAAUGUUAGAUAAAGAAAAGAUGCAGUUCCAUGAUCAGUUAGGAUAGGUGAGAGAAGAGGGGUUAACAAAGAGGCUGAGGGAUCAUUGAAAGUUUGAAGCAAGAGGAGUGGAAUAGUUCUUAUAAAAAGUGGAAAAUAAAACCUAUACAAGAAGUUGUAGUUUGGGAUUUGUGUUGAUUUGAAAGUAAGACCAGUUAGCAUGAUUUUGUCAUUUUUUUUCUAGUAACUGUUAGCUAUUUGAUGCCAGUGUGGGAUUAGUGGAUAAUUGGAAUUAAUCAAGAUUAGGAUUUUGCCAGGCUAGUACAAUAGAGGGAAGAGGAAGUUUAAUCCUGAUAGGUAAGGGAGGAUGUAUGGAGUUGAGAGAAAUAAUUGGUGGUCAUGGAGAAAUGCAUUGGCAAAUUGAUGAGGUGGGAGAAUGGCUGGAAUGGGAGGACUAGAAUAAGUGAGCUGAAAGGAUAGGAGAUAGUGAUUAGAAAGGAAGUAUAAUGUUAAUUAGGUCAGAGAAUGAAAAGUCAGAGUAGUUCCGGAUAUUGAAGUCACUAAGAGUGGUGGAGGCAAGAGAAAGGAUAGAGAGGAAACUGUGAACCAGGGGUCAUAAAAUCUUAAAAGAAUAAGGAUGACUGGCUAGGCACAAUGGCUCACGCCUGUAAUCCCAGCACUUUGGGAGGCCAAGGCGGGCAGAUCACAAGGUCAGGAGAUCGAGACCAUCCUGGCCAACAUGGUGAAACCUCGUCUGUACUAAAAAUACAAAAAUUAGCCUAGCGUGGCGGCGAGUGCCUGUAGUCCCAGCUACUCGGGAGGCUGAAGCGAGAGAAUUACUUGAACCUGGGAGGCAGAGGCUGCAGUGAGCCAAGAUUACGCCACUGUACUCCAGCCUGGGCGACAGAGCGAGACUCCAUCUCAAAAAAAAAAAAAAGAAUAAGGAUGACCAAGAAGUUAGUAUAUGAUAGCUACAGGAAGAUAGGCGGUGAUACAUUCUGUCCUGAGCAUCAAAGGAAUCUUAACUUUCACCAUUCCCUCUUUAUAUCUUUAUAUUCCCUUAAUGCAAGGUAGUUUUGCUCUUUUAGACUGCCCAUGUUUUCUCUUGUCUUUACACCUUUGCCUGGAAUUUUGCUAUCCAUAAUCUCUUACCCACCACUCCUCCCAGGAAAGUCUUCUAUUAGGUCUCAGUUUAAAUUUACUUUCUCCUGGAAGCUUUUUCUUCAAUCUAGUUUGACUGGGCUCAGAAUCCUCCAAUGUUGACUUGUGUCAUCUAUGAGAGCAUUUUUCACACUCUGUAGUAUUUACUCUUCCCUUUUCUGUCUUUCUAACUGAUAAAAGUUUUCGGAAGACAGGAACUGUUUUUGUUUCAUUACAUUCCUAGUAUUAACACCGUACCUGGCACAUAGUAAGUAUUAAGUAAUGUUUGUUGAAUAAAUGAACCAGUUAAAAACAGUGUUUCAGCCGGGACUAGUGGCUCACGCCUGUAAUCCCAGCACUUUGGGAGGAUGAGGUGGGUAGAUUACUUGAGGUAAGGAAUUUGAGACCAUCCUGGCCAAUGUGGUGAUACCCUCUCUCUACUAAAAAUACAAAAAAAAAAAUUAGCCAGGCCUGGUGGUGCCUGCCUUAGUCCCGGCUACUCAGGAGGCUGAGGCACGAGAAUUGCUUGAGCCUGGGAGGUGGAGGCUGCAGUGAGCUGAGAUCACACCACUGUGCUCCAGCCUGGGUGACAGAGCAAGACUCGGCCUCAAAAAAACAAAAACAAAACAAAACAAUAACAGAGAAAGCAAUGUUCCAUAAAGUAUUGAGUAUAGAGGUUUUACAGCCUAUGACAUAGUUGACUUUUCACUUUUAUUGUGGAUUAAUCAGCUACUUUGUAUUUUUCAAACCUUAUGGGUGCUGCGUUGCUUCUUUUGUAUUGUAGAUCAUGUUCUUAAAUCUGGAAUACAUAAUUAUGACUCUGAGAAGCAGUCACUGGCCACUGGAGAUAGCUUGUUAAAAAUAUUGAGAUGUCUGGAUUUUCUGAUGUUAUGUUAUAGAAUAAAGGGGCAUAUUUAAAACUGAAGUCCACAGUUGGCUUAAUGGAAAAGUUUUGUGACCCUAAGAAUGUGCUGGGAGAAAGUUGUCUGGGGUAGGAUGAGAGACCCAAUGUGAAGAACAGAGAAAUACAGGAGCUUUUUCAUUUUUCUUCAUGGUGAUGGUCUUGGUUGCCAUAGCUUUUAGAUGGCUGUCCUUACUUGCUGGUUUUUUUUUUUUUAGCCCCAGUUUAUAAAAAAUUAUCUUUCAACUUCAUGAAUACUAGGAUGUAUUACUAUGUAUUGAUUCGUGUCUUCCAAUUCUGUGUUGAAACCUUGUAGGUAAAAUGUUUAGACUUUUCUUCAUUAACUUUUAGUUUUCAUUAAAAAUUUUACAGUAUGUAGAAGAGUUCAUAGUUUACAAAACUGGCAAUUGCAUAAUAUUACUGAAGUAGAAAUGGCUUAAUUAACAUCUUUCAAUUUUUUUUGUUUGUUUAAGUGGAAAUCCAUAGGUAACUUUUUACUAUUAGUAAGAUUGAAGACUGGAGGGCUUGAGUUGAAAUACUUCCUUAGUAGUAAAUUGACUUGGAAAUAUGAAUUAAGAGAUGAAAAGGAAUUGCAUUAGCAAUGCGAAUAGAAAAUUAAUUUAAUUGGAAUGAUUCUAUUGUGGAUUUUAUAGUGAUAUUGAUUCCAUUCAUUAUGAGUUUAUCUUUUCCACAUAAUAAUUUCAGUUCCUGAUUAAUAAGAGUUAAAUAAGACCUGUAACUGUACUGUUUUAUUAGAUUUCUAGGUGUUUAGUAUAUCUUAAGUCUGAGUAUUAGUGUAUACCAAAACCCUACUAACAUGAAUAGGAAUCAGAAAUAUAGUUAGAUCUUUUUUGUGUAGUUGCCGUUGUACUCCAGUUAGUUCCUUUUAUAAACAUAAUGCAGGAUCUUUCAAUUCUUGUGUAUUAAAGUUAAAAACAAAAAGAAUUGAGAGUAUCACAUUUAACUUGUUGGAAAGAAAUGGUGGAUUUCAAAAACUGGUACUCCAAAACUCUUUUGGAUUAUAGCGCGAAUUUGUAUAGUUAAAUUUCUGAAAGAUCUCUUUAGUAAAUUGAAUCUGUAAGGUCUCUGUUUAGAAGAUCUCUUUUUCUGAAAGCCUCUUUGCCUUUCAUUAUAAAAGAGCCUGGUACUGCUCUCUGUUUUAAAAAUCCAGCUGGAAAAUUACAGAGCACAAACAUUUGCCCAUCGGUUCUUCAUUUGGAGAAAACAGAAAUAUGUCUUCAAAAUGGAGGCUGACAUUUAAGUAUUUAUUCCUAUCAGCGGGAGCUGUAGUUUGUAUUUUUUGCAUUUUACUUCUGUAACCACAUAUAAUAUAUCUUGGCUUCUGCGUGGUGUAACUGUAAAACACCAUCUUUAUUUUAUGUCAUUUUGUGAUUGUUGUUCAAAUCCUCCAAUGAUCUGUUUCUGAGCCCCUCAGAAUCUCUAAAAAAAUCAAGGUAUCCUUCCUUUUCUUUUUGGCUCUAUUAAAUUGAAACAUAAAUGGUUGAUUCUAAUAAUAAAAAUUGGCUCAUAAA